rnacentral:misc_RNA from 1 species
GGGAGAUGAGAGCUAAAGAUCUUGUGAAGGAGAUUGGCAGCUUCGUAAAGGUUGUCCAUGGAAACGCACUCGGCGCAUUGAAGCAAUAGACUAAUAGUCUAAGACUUGUAGACUCCAUGGAAGCCUUGCUAGAGAAGUUAGGUCGUUUGGCAAAAGGGUCGUCUGUGUUGCCUAAGAAGGUCACCAACUCUCUGUAGACGUAGUUCAACUUCAUGAAGGAAGUAGAAUUGUUUGAGUUAGAACUAAAAUUGUUGGCGAUUGAGGAACUAAGCUU